rnacentral:rRNA from 1 species
UGCAAGUCGAACGAUGAAGCCUUUAGCUUGCUAGAGGUGGAUUAGUGGCGCACGGGUGAGUAAGGUAUAGUUAAUCUGCCUUGCACUGGGGGACAACAUUUAGAAAUGAGUGCUAAUACCCCAUACUCCACUAUAACACAAGUUAUAGUGGGAAAGUUUUUCGGUGCAAGAUGAGACUAUAUAGUAUCAGCUAGUUGGUAAGGUAAAGGCUUACCAAGGCUAUGACGCUUAACUGGUCUGAGAGGAUGAUCAGUCACAUUGGAACUGAGACACGGUCCAAACUCCUACGGGAGGCAGCAGUGGGGAAUAUUGCGCAAUGGGCGAAAGCCUGACGCAGCAACGCCGCGUGGAGGAUGACACUUUUCGGAGCGUAAACUCCUUUUCUUAGGGAAGAAUUCUGACGGUACCUAAGGAAUAAGCACCGGCUAACUCCGUGCCAGCAGCCGCGGUAAUACGGAGGGUGCAAACGUUACUCGGAAUCACUGGGCGUAAAGGGCGCGUAGGCGGAUUAUCAAGUCUCUUGUGAAAUCUAAUGGCUCAACCAUUAAACUGCUUGGGAAACUGAUAGUCUAGAGUAAGGGAGAGGCAGAUGGAAUUGGUGGUGUAGGGGUAAAAUCCGUAGAUAUCACCAAGAAUACCCAUUGCGAAGGCGAUCUGCUGGAACUUAACUGACGCUAAGGCGCGAAAGCGUGGGGAGCAAACAGGAUUAGAUACCCUGGUAGUGCACGCCCUAAACGAUGUAUGCUAGUUGUUGGGGUGCUAGUCAUCUCAGUAAUGCAGCUAACGCAUUAAGCAUACCGCCUGGGGAGUACGGUCGCAAGAUUAAAACUCAAAGGAAUAGACGGGGACCCGCACAAGCGGUGGAGCAUGUGGUUUAAUUCGAGGAUACGCGAAGAACCUUACCUGGGCUUGAUAUCCAACUAAUUCUUUAGAGAUAAAGAAGUGCUAGCUUGCUAGAAAGUUGAGACAGGUGCUGCACGGCUGUCGUCAGCUCGUGUCGUGAGAUGUUGGGUUAAGUCCCGCAACGAGCGCAACCCUCGUCCUUAGUUGCUAACAGCUCGGCUGAGCACUCUAAGGAGACUGCCUUCGUAAGGAGGAGGAAGGUGGGGACGAUGUCAAGUCAUCAUGGCCCUUAUGCCCAGGGCGACACACGUGCUACAAUGGCAUAUACAAUGAGACGCAAUACCGUGAGGUGGAGCAAAUCUAUAAAAUAUGUCCCAGUUCGGAUUGUUCUCUGCAACUCGAGAGCAUGAAGCCGGAAUCGCUAGUAAUCGCAAAUCAGCCAUGUUGCGGUGAAUACGUUCCCGGGUCUUGUACUCACCGCCCGUCAAACCAUGGGAGUUGAUUUCACUCG